AUCUUGCCCAAUGGGCGCAAGCCUGAGGCAGCGACGCCGCGUGAGGGAAGAAGGCCUUCGGGUUGUAAACCUCUUUCAGGAGGGACGAAGCCACUCGGGUUAAUAGCCCAGAGGGUGACGGUACCUCCAGCAGAAGCCCCGGCUAACUACGUGCCAGCAGCCGCGGUAAUACGUAGGGGGCAAGCGUUGUCCGGAUUUACUGGGCGUAAAGAGCGUGUAGGCGGCCAGACAGGUCUGUUGUGAAAACUGGAGGCUUAACCUCCAGAGGUCGACAGAAACCGUCUGGCUAGAGUCCGGAAGAGGAGAGUGGAAUUCCUGGUGUAGCGGUGAAAUGCGCAGAUAUCAGGAAGAACACCAAUGGCGAAGGCAGCUCUCUGGGACGGUACUGACGCUGAGACGCGAAAGCGUGGGGAGCGAAC
rnacentral:rRNA from 1 species